GCGCGGACCUGUCCUUCAGGAGGCGCCGUUAACAGUAGGAGCGGCGGCAGGAGCAGCAGGAGCACCUCCGCUACGGAGCGGCAAUGUCGGGACCCCAUCGCUCGGCUGCCUCAACCUUCAGCGCCCGCUGUCGCUGACACUGCUGCGGAUGGUGCCGCUGCUGCUACCCCCCGCGGUUCGGCCCAGCGCGCAUACGCAGGGGGAGGUGUCUGCGGGCGGGCGGGCGGCCGACCCGCCCCGAGCCUCGGCCUCCCCUCACGUGCAGGCGCCGGGUGGCCGGCGAGAGACUGCCUGGGAGUGCGUAGAUGUUUAUGUGCAGUCGCCUCUUUCUUUUUCCCGCGCUUCUGCCAAAGGUCGUUUCCCCCAGAGUUAAGCUGUCGGGAAAUGCUUGCAGCAAGAGAUAGAUCAGAUGUCAAUUCCUUUAACAAGGGAUGCCUCCAGUGUUAUGUUGAACUCCUGCAAGGUCUGCAGCACACGGAUCAAGGAGUUCACUAGGGUAUGAUCCUUCAUCAGUGCUGUAUCCUCAUACAUCUGACCUGUGAUGGGGCAGUCUGCCAGCAAGGCAAUCCAAUGGUGUAAGAGGUGAUCCCUGCAACAAAAAGUGUUAGAAUUCCAGAACAAGGACAAGCCCCGGCAUUUCCAGUUCAAAAGAUCUUGGGCUGCAAAGGUGGAAAAGACCUCUGCAUGAGAGCCACUACCAGCUUUCAAAAUUUCAUAGAAUAAGUGAAAUAUUUGAAGUGACUUGGUCAAAGGACUAAAAAUGUGGAUAGCAGAACAAAAAAGAAAGAAAACUGAUCGCUGUGAAAGCAAUUCUGUCAUUCUUCCAUCAUUGAAAAGCAUAUGCAAAUGAAUCAAAGAAGUGGCACAAUACCUG